rnacentral:rRNA from 1 species
UUGAUAACUUAGUGGCGGACGGGUGAGUAACGCGUGGGCAACCUGCCCUGUACAGGGGGACAACACUUAGAAAUAGGUGCUAAUACCGCAUAACGGGGGAGCCGCAUGGCACCCCCCUGAAAACUCCGGUGGUACAGGAUGGGCCCGCGUCUGAUUAGCUGGUUGGCAGGGUAACGGCCUACCAAGGCGACGAUCAGUAGCCGGCCUGAGAGGGCGGACGGCCACACUGGGACUGAGACACGGCCCAGACUCCUACGGGAGGCAGCAG